AGAUAUAUUAUACUCUAGAUUGCGCCUUACGAUCUUAAAAUGGGUGACGGUUGCGACAGAGAUAAAUGAGCCUAUUUGGUCGGUAGUCUCUUUCUAAUUCAAGGGGAGUAUCGACGACGUCACUAUCCUACUCUGUCGUCGAGUAUUUUAGAUGGUUUGACAGUUCGAGCGGAUGGCGACGAGAACUGGUCGUUUGUCUUCGGACGUGGAUAAUCCUGGUUCGAAUCCCAUACCAAUCUUUACUUUUUUAUUUUUAAUUUAAUCAAUAUUGCGUUUAUUAGAUAUUAUUACAUCUCUAAAAUAAAUCUAUGCAAAGAAAUAUAUAACAAAUAAGAAAAACUGUGUAGGUACCUAUAGAUUUUUAAAAAUAUAAAAGCCAAUGUUAUUUUUUUAAUAAGUUAAUGGUACAAUAGUAUAAAGUAAUUGUUAAAAAUAUUCGUACAAAUUACCAAUAAUUAAUAUCAACAUAAUGUACCAUCAUCGAUUUAUUAAUUGAAUCGGUCAUUUCAAAAACAACACGAGACACGAGUCACAUAUUCCUAAUUUUACAGAAGAGCAAAGAAAACUACCUAUAUAGUCGAAAGAUGGAUGAAAUGGAUGACAUCAAAAUUCAGAGUUAUAUUGUAGUUUUGUUCCUAAUGUUUUUACUGGACUGGUGUCGUUUUUGCACACAAUGUUUAUCUUAAAGGAGUCUAU